UCCAAAUACUCCCUCGUGAAUUUUCUGUGUCUAACGUUUAACUAUUCGUUUUAUUUGAAUUUUUUAUUAAUAUUUUUUUAUUAUUAGAUGAUAAAAUAUUAAUAGUACUUUAUACGUGAUUUAAUUUUUAUUUUUUAUAAAUUUUUUAAGUAAGACAGAUGAUCAAACAUUGAACAGAAGUUAACGGCUGUACUUGAA
rfam:Oryza sativa (indica cultivar-group) chromosome 3, whole genome shotgun sequence.